GUGUCAGCCGCCGCGGUAAUACGGAGGGGGCGAGCGUUAUUCGGAAUUAUUGGGCGUAAAGGGCGCGUAGGCGGCUUUCUAAGUCAAAGGUGAAAUCCCUCGGCUCAACUGAGGAACUGCCUUUGAAACUGGAAGGCUUGAGGCCGGGAGGGGGUAGCGGAAUUCCCAGUGUAGCGGUGAAAUGCGUAGAUAUUGGGAGGAACACCAGUGGCGAAGGCGGCUACCUGGACCGGUACUGACGCUGAUGCGCGAAAGCGUGGGUAGCAAACAGGAUUAGAAACCCCUGUAGUCC
rnacentral:rRNA from 1 species